rnacentral:rRNA from 1 species
GAUGAACGCUGGCGGCGUGCUUAACACAUGCAAGUCGAACGAUGAAGCCCAGCUUGCUGGGUGGAUUAGUGGCGAACGGGUGAGUAACACGUGAGUAACCUGCCCUUAACUCUGGGAUAAGCCUGGGAAACUAGGUCUAAUACCGGAUAGGAGCGUCCACCGCAUGGUGGGUGUUGGAAAGAUUUAUCGGUUUUGGAUGGACUCGCGGCCUAUCAGCUUGUUGGUGAGGUAAUGGCUCACCAAGGCGACGACGGGUAGCCGGCCUGAGAGGGUGACCGGCCACACUGGGACUGAGACACGGCCCAGACUCCUACGGGAGGCAGCAGUGGGGAAUAUUGCACAAUGGGCGCAAGCCUGAUGCAGCGACGCCGCGUGAGGGAUGACGGCCUUCGGGUUGUAAACCUCUUUCAGUAGGGAAGAAGCGAAAGUGACGGUACCUGCAGAAGAAGCACCGGCUAACUACGUG